CCGUUAGCUUGCAGUUAAAAACUGUUUGGCAGCUUCGCUGGGGAAUGUAAAUAAUUUUUAUAUUCAAGUUGCAUUUAUAUUUUAAAAAAUAUACACACAUCACCCGCGAUGCUGAACUGGGAAGAGCCUGCUGGAGUAGGUUUGCCUUUUGGCUGUCCUUAAUUGGACCAUGUAUGGUAAUUAGGGCUUCCUUAAGCAAUAUUUACCGAUAGAGACUUUCGCAAGGGAGCAAGCAAAGAGAGCCUGGUGCAUCUUGGUUUUCACUGAACCAUUGGCAGCAGCAGCAGAGAGAAACAUUAACCCGCCGGGGUCGGGCCGCCAGCUCCCUGGCUUGCUGUAGGGCUAAUCUAAUGGAGGGUCAUCCAGGAAUUGGGCUGUUCAUCAUUUUGUCCCCAGGGGACCCAAAGGAUACAUGGGGCUCAGAAGAAAUAUCCAGGACUGAUGUGAGCAAGGGCUUUUCAUGAAGCCACCAAAGCCAGCCAUUGCUUAAGGUUGAGCAUCCAACUUGGAGCUGUCAUUCUUGGAAGGAAACCAAGCCACUGGGGUGAGUUUCUAGGAAUUUAGGCCAUAUCUGCUCCCUCCUACUUCUCUCUUCCCCCAAAGG
rnacentral:lncRNA from 1 species